rnacentral:lncRNA from 1 species
UAUAUAGGUUGUGUUUUGCGUUUAUCGAUACCUAGUUUAAUUUAGAAAAAUUUUAAAUACUAUUCCUGUGGUUUCAUACUUUCUCACAUUAGUGCCCUAUGAUUUAAAGUGUAUUAAUUUAGUGCCCUGCGAUUUUUUUUUUAAUUAUCGAUUCUACUAAUUUUUUUCGUUAAAUUAGUGACAAAGUUAAAAUUAAAGAGUAUUAAAGUGAAUAUUUGAUAAACAUAGGUGGGGUAUCUGAAGUAUUUUGUAUAUAAUUUAACAAAAUAUUAGCGAAAAAACCGACAAAAAAAUAAAAAUGAAACCAUAGAAUACUAAUUUGAUAUACUGUACACCAUAGAGUAUUAAAAUAAAAAAAUACGAAAUCACAGGAAUGGUAUUUAAAGUUUAUCCUUUAAUUUAGGGGUACUGUGGAUGUAGAG